CAGAUAGUAGUGUAAAAGCACAGUUAAUUUUCACUUAACUAGAAUAUUUCUUAAUAUCUAUCUGC
rnacentral:tRNA from 1 species